UCUUCCUUCCGCCUGAGCAACACAGGCGCACACCCGUGCGUCCCGGGCACGAUCCCCGUCCACACUACGCUGUGCGCCAUGGUUCUUCCCGCCGCCCGGGCCCGCGGCUUGGUGGCAGCAGCCAAGGCGGCCCAGAGGCGCCGCCGCGUGGACAGCAGGGGAGGGUCUCCAAGUCCUGAGCCCGCGAGCAGGCGCGCGGCAGUUUACGUGCACUGGCCGUAUUGCGAGAAGCGAUGCAGUUACUGUAACUUCAAUAAGUACAUACCUCGCGGCGUGGAGGAGGCUGCCAUGAGGAACUGUCUGGUGACCGAGGUGCAUACGCUGCUGCGGCUCAGCGGGGUGCGACGGGUGGAGUCUGUGUUCUUUGGUGGGGGGACCCCCAGUCUGGCCAGUCCUCACACUGUGGCUGCUGUUCUGGAGGCUGUGGCCCAGUCAGCCCACCUGCCUGCAGACUCUGAAGUCACUUUAGAGGCUAAUCCCACUUCGGCCCCAGCCUCCAGGCUGGCAGAAUUUGGAGCGGCAGGAGUCAACAGGUUGUCCAUUGGUCUCCAGUCUCUAGACGACACUGAGCUGCAGCUACUGGGGCGGACACACUCAAGCAGUGAUGCUCUGCGGACGCUGGCAGAAGCCCGGUGCCUCUUCCCUGGCCGCGUGUCUGUGGACCUGAUGCUGGGGCUGCCGGCACAGCAGGUGGGGCCGUGGCUCAGGCAACUGCAGGAACUGUUGCACCACUGUGACGACCAUCUCUCCCUCUACCAGCUGUCCCUGGAACGAGGCACCGCACUCUUCGCCCAGGUGCAGCAGGGUGCUCUUCCUGCCCCUGACCCAGAGCUGGCCACUGAGAUGUACCAGGAGGGUCGGGCAAUGCUCCAGGAGGCUGGCUUCCGCCAGUAUGAGGUCUCCAACUUUGCCAGGAACGGGGCGCUCAGUACUCACAAUUGGACUUACUGGCAGUGCGGUCAAUACCUUGGCAUUGGGCCAGGGGCCCAUGGGCGAUUUAUGCUUCAGGGGGCUGAAGGCCAUACCCGGGAGGCUCGGAUCCAGACACUGGAACCAGACAACUGGAUGAAGGAAGUGAUGCUGUUUGGUCAUGGCACCCGGAAGCGCGUCCCCCUGGGCAAACUGGAGCUUGACUUCUCUUUCAGGCUGGAGGAGGCUUUGGCCAUGGGGCUACGCACUGACGUGGGGCUCACCCACCAGCACUGGCAGGAGUUUGAGCCCCCACUGACCCUGUGGGACAUUUUUGGAACAAACAGGGAAGUAAAGGAGCUACUGGAACAGGACCUGUUGCUGCUGGACCACAGGGGUCUCCGGUGUUCCUGGAAGGGUCUGGCUGUGCUGGAUUCUCUAUUGCUGACCCUCCUGCCUCAACUCCAAAAGACUUGGCACCAGAGAACCCCGUCACUUGUGCCAGGAGGAUGAGCAGAUAGAUGUUCCUUUAUCCCAGGGGAAUGCCAGGUGGACCUGGGGGGCUGGACCAGCCCUGCAGGCAUCGCUGCUGACAGGUGCUGUCUCUGCUCCAGGUGGUCAUUGCCUGGCCCUGCCAGUUCAUGGUUUCCAUACCUAAGGUCUCCAUGUGGUCUGUUCUGGUCCCUGGAGUUCCAGCCAUCAUGUCUGUAUUCCAGGGUGUCACCACUCACCAAGUUGCUUAGGGCCUCACUAAGUUGCAGAGGCUGGCUUUAAAUUUGCAAUUCUCCUACCUCAGCCUCCCAAGCCACUAGAUACAGGCGAGCACCACUGGACUGGUUUCCUGAUGAUUUCCUGAUCAAGUCAAAAGGACUGUCUAGGUAGAUUGAUUGGUCGAUAGACAGAUGUUACAAAUACAUUAACUCUUUGUCUUUCUUGCUGUGUAUAUUGCUUCUGAUAUGCUCCCCUUUGAUCUUUUAUGGGUUGUUACUUUUUUGGAAGUGAGUUUUCUAGCAGUGUCAAACAUAUUUAUAUAGUUGAGUCUACCUGUUGCCUGUGACUUUUUCUACCAGUUCUGGGCUUGGGCAUAUUUGUUCCACUUCCAGAGAUACAGUCAGUGUUUAAGUUGGCUUUCCCCUCCCAGGAGAGGCGGGAUAAUGUUAGUUGGUUCACCUGGAUCCAAAUCUCCACUCUGUCACUUCCCAUCUGAAUGACUACAUGGAACACUCCCCUCUUCUGAAUACUGAUUUUCCUGGCUGGUGAAGGGGUUGGACCAGCCUUGGGUCCUCAAAUUUGUUUAUGCAUCAGAACCACCAGGGCUCCAUAAAAUACACAUUCCUGCCCACCCACUGUCCUGUAUCUGGAGAAGCCAAAUCUCUAAACCCAGGAAUCUGUAUUUUUCAGAGGUCUCUAGUGAGUCUGCUGCUCAGGCCUGUUUCAGAAUCACAGGACCAGCCAAGGUCUGCACCUGCACCCCGCUGAGUAGUUACUCAGGGAGGGGGAGUAGCAGCCCUUGGCCACUGUGUCCCCCAGAGCCAGCUGGCCCUGCUUCUCCCUCUUGGUCAGAGGUCCCAUUUCAGAACCAGCCUGAGCAGCAGCCUCUGCUCCCUGCU